rnacentral:ncRNA from 1 species
UUUUUUGAGAGUUUGAUCCUGGCUCAGGAUGAACGCUGGCGGCGUGCCUUAGGCAUGCAAGUCGAAUGGUCGCAAGACAAUGGCAGACGGGUGAGUAAUACGUAGGAAUCUACCCCUUAAUGGAUCAUAGCUCAUCGAAAGAUGGGGUAAUAGUCCAUAGUCUCAGGGUUCCACCCUGAGUAAAUCCGAAGCACGAAAUCCGAAAUCCGAAACAAUAUCAAAAUUAAAAUGACAAAAAUUCAAAAUAGGUUUUGAACAUUUGGAUUUUGAGAAUUAAAAUUUGUUUCGAGUUUCGAUAUUCGAAUUUCGAAUUUAUUUAGAGUGGAGCUUUGAGUAAAGAUCGUAACUGAUCGUUGAGGGAGGAGCCUACGUCCUAUCAGCUAGUAGGUAAGGUAAAAGCUUACCUAGGCUAUGACGGGUAGCUGGACUGAGAGGUCGGUCAGCCACAACUGCACUGAGAUACGGGCAGUACACCUACGGGUGGCAGCAACCAGGAAUAUUGCGCAAUGGACGAAAGUCUGACGCAGCGACGCCGCGUGGAGGAUGAAGGCCUUAGGGUCGUAAACUCCUUUUGCCCAGCCAUUCACGGCGGGGCGAAUAAGCCUCUACUAACUACGUGCCAGAAGUCUCGGUAAU